CCUAAAAAGGAAGGUCCAGCUGUCUGUACUUUGUUCUAGAACACUUUGUAAAAAUGAGGGAUAUCGGCCUAAUCUACAUUUGUCAGCGCUAAUCCUCAGUAGAUAAAGAGCCAAAGAGCCAGAAACCCAAUGGACAAAGAUGAAGUAACAAGACGUCGUAAGAUUUACCAUUCCAAUUUUAAAGAAGAUUUUUUCUUAAUAUUUAUUGGUUUUUUUGUGUUUUUAAGGAACUUUUUAAAUAUAGGCAGUUGUGUAGCCUAAAAAGGAAGGUCCAGCUGUCUGUACUUUGUUCUAGAACACUUUGUAAAAAUGGUAAUCGUCUGAAAUAUAUAUUUUUAGAACGACUUUGUCUUUUAAUUUUGUAAAAAGUAAUUUAUUCAUCUGACGGAAAUCCAAAUAUAUCGCUAUAAUUCGUCACCAGAGGGAUAUCGGCCUAAUCUACAUUUGUCAGCGCUAAUCCUCAGUAGAUAAAGAGCCAAAGAGCCAGAAACCCAAUGGACAAAGAUGAAGUAACAAGACGUCGAACUUUUUAAAUAUAGGCAGUUGUGUAGCCUAAAAAGGAAGGUCCAGCUGUCUGUACUUUGUUCUAGAACACUUUGUAAAAAUGGUAAUCGUCUGAAAUAUAUAUUUUUAGAACGACUUUGUCUUUUAAUUUUGUAAAAAGUAAUUUAUUCAUCUGACGGAAAUCCAAAUAUAUCGCUAUAAUUCGUCACCAGAGGGAUAUCGGCCUAAUCUACAUUUGUCAGCGCUAAUCCUCAGUAGAUAAAGAGCCAAAGAGCCAGAAACCCAAUGGACAAAGAUGAAGUAACAAGACGUCGUAAGAUUUACCAUUCCAAUUUUAAAGAAGAUUUUUUCUUAAUAUUUAUUGGUUUUUUUGUGUU